rnacentral:rRNA from 1 species
GAUGAACGCUAGCGGGAGGCCUAACACAUGCAAGCCGAGCGGUAGAGUCUCUUCGGAGGCUUGAGAGCGGCGCACGGGUGCGGAACACGUGUGCAACCUGCCUUUAUCUGGGGGAUAGCCUUUCGAAAGGAAGAUUAAUACCCCAUAAUAUACUGGAUGGCAUCAUCUGGUAUUGAAAACUCCGGUGGAUAGAGAUGGGCACGCGCAAGAUUAGAUAGUUGGUGAGGUAACGGCUCACCAAGUCAGCGAUCUUUAGGGGGCCUGAGAGGGUGAUCCCCCACACUGGUACUGAGACACGGACCAGACUCCUACGGGAGGCAGCAGUGAGGAAUAGUGGACAAUGGGUGAGAGCCUGAUCCAGCCAUCCCGCGUGAAGGACGACGGCCCUAUGGGUUGUAAACUUCUUUUGUAUAGGGAUAAACCUAGAUACGUGUAUCUAGCUGAAGGUACUAUACGAAUAAGCACCGGCUAACUCCGUG